rnacentral:rRNA from 1 species
GAUGAACGCUGGCGGCGUGCCUAAUACAUGCAAGUCGAGCGAACAGACGAGGAGCUUGCUCCUCUGACGUUAGCGGCGGACGGGUGAGUAACACGUGGAUAACCUACCUAUAAGACUGGGAUAACUUCGGGAAACCGGAGCUAAUACCGGAUAACAUGUUGAACCGCAUGGUUCAACAGUGAAAGACGGUUUUGCUGUCACUUAUAGAUGGAUCCGCGCCGCAUUAGCUAGUUGGUAAGGUAACGGCUUACCAAGGCAACGAUGCGUAGCCGACCUGAGAGGGUGAUCGGCCACACUGGAACUGAGACACGGUCCAGACUCCUACGGGAGGCAGCAGUAGGGAAUCUUCCGCAAUGGGCGAAAGCCUGACGGAGCAACGCCGCGUGAGUGAAGAAGGUCUUCGGAUCGUAAAACUCUGUUAUGAGGGAAGAACAAAUGUGUAAGUAACUAUGCACGUCUUGACGGUACCUAAUCAGAAAGCCACGGCUAACUACGUG